GUUUUAAUAGUUUAUAAAAAAAAUUUUAAUUUGUGGGAUUGAGGAAAAUGUUAAUUUUAAAACA
rnacentral:tRNA from 1 species